rnacentral:lncRNA from 10 species
GGGGAGUGUCUCUUAAUUGCCGGCCAAGCAGUCUGAAAUAAACUUAGCAACUCAUCUUGUUUAAGGGGCGUGGAACGGGGGGAGUGCGAUGCGAGUGAGAGGAGCGACCGCGACUGCACACCUGCUGUAUACCAGGCCUCGUAUCUCAUUUAGCCUCAAAACAACCCUGUGUGUUAAGUAUUCUCACCCUAAUCUUGAAGAUCUGGGAACUGAUAAUUAGGGUAACUGAUCCUCCGAAACGACUGCUAAGCACAGGCUCGAGGCAGUAACUUCCAUGCACGUAUCUGUGGAAAAAUGCCACGUGUACAUGAAGCUGGCCAUCUACAACCCAGGAGAGAGGCCUGAAACAAUCUUUCCUCACAGUCAUCAGAACUGGAACCAACACUGCCCACACCUUGAACACAGGCUUCCAGCGUCCAG